rnacentral:rRNA from 1 species
UACGAAGGGGGCAAGCGUUGUUCGGAUUUACUGGGCGUAAAGGGCGCGUAGGCGGUGCGGUAAGUCACUUGUGAAAUCUCUGAGCUUAACUCAGAACGGCCAAGUGAUACUGCAGUACUAGAGUGCAGAAGGGGCAAUCAGAAUUCUUGGUGUAGCGGUGAAAUGCGUAGAUAUCGGGAGGAACACCAGUGGCGAAGGCGAGUCCCUGGAAAACUCCUGACACUGAGGCACGAAAGCUAGGGGAGCAAACAGG